AUACGUAGGGUGCGAGCGUUAAUCGGAAUUACUGGGCGUAAAGCGCGCGUAGGCGGCUUUGUAAGUCGGAUGUGAAAGCCCUGGGCUCAACCUGGGAAUGGCAUUCGAUACUGCAGAGCUAGAGUAUGGUAGAGGGAAGUGGAAUUUCCGGUGUAGCGGUGAAAUGCGUAGAUAUCGGAAGGAACACCAGUGGCGAAGGCGACUUCCUGGGCCAAUACUGACGCUGAGGUGCGAAAGCGUGGGGAGCAAACAGGAUUAGAAACCCCGGUAGUCC
rnacentral:rRNA from 1 species